rnacentral:rRNA from 1 species
UGGGGAAUAUUGGACAAUGGGCGCAAGCCUGAUCCAGCAAUGCCGCGUGAGUGAUGAAGGCCUUAGGGUUGUAAAGCUCUUUUACCCGGGAUGAUAAUGACAGUACCGGGAGAAUAAGCUCCGGCUAACUCCGUGCCAGCAGCCGCGGUAAUACGGAGGGAGCUAGCGUUGUUCGGAAUUACUGGGCGUAAAGCGCACGUAGGCGGCUUUGUAAGUUAGAGGUGAAAGCCUGGAGCUCAACUCCAGAAUUGCCUUUAAGACUGCAUCGCUUGAAUCCAGGAGAGGUGAGUGGAAUUCCGAGUGUAGAGGUGAAAUUCGUAGAUAUUCGGAAGAACACCAGUGGCGAAGGCGGCUCACUGGACUGGUAUUGACGCUGAGGUGCGAAAGCGUGGGGAGCAAA